rfam:Salmo salar isolate Sally breed double haploid chromosome ssa11, whole genome shotgun sequence.
CUACCUUUUGUAGUAUAUUUGUUUAAAAAUCUGUUAAUAAUCUGUUAAUAUCUGAUACGUCUCCUAUCUGGGGACCAUAUAUGAAAUUGUAUUUUGGAACGGCGAGAUGGGAUAGGGGCUUGCUCUCUCCUCUGCAUGCAUCGACCUAGUAAUGCAGUAUCUCCAGGAAGGGUGCACCUCUC